GGUGGGUUGGCUCAGUGGUUAGAGCGUGGGUCUUGCAACCAAAAGGUUGCGGGAUCGAAUCCCGCUAGAGGCUG
rnacentral:tRNA from 1 species